AAGUUUGUCUGAUGGAAAAUCAGGUGAACAUGCUGGGGCUCAUGGAAACUCAUGUUCUCAGGUCUAACAUCUUCAUCUUACUGGUGGAACAAUUAUUUCAGCUUAAUCUUCCUCCAAGGUCAGAGACUGCAGUGACUUUCUUCUGACCCUCUAUAUCACCUUCAUUGUGUUGCUGUCCCUUGCAUUGUCUCACAUUUUUGAAUGAGAUCCCUCUCCUUUAUCUGCAGCCUCUUCUACCAAGGCUGAGCUAGUUCGUAGCUAUAUUAGAUGCUAGGAUCUUUUCCCAGACAAAGGGAGGCUUGCAGCUUGCAUUGCAUCUUGGAUGGGAUGGGGACCUGCUGUUCAUUUUGGUUACAUUCAAAGAGCUAGACAUUUAAGGGAAAAAAACCACAACAUACUCCCAUAAAAAACAAAUACAUGAAUAAAUUUAAAAAAAAAAUCCAAACCCUCAUAGUUAAGAGAAACAAGAUCAUGCUGCAUGUUGUUAAUACUACUUGUGAAAACCAUCUCUGCUUUAUCUUUAUGCAGGUAACCUUCUGUGCUGAAUUUGUCCCCUCAGUACCCAGAAAUAGUGACCUCAGACACAUAUAGGCUGAUUAAGAAUUGACCUUUUUAUGUUCGUACAACAACUUCGCAAAAUAAAGAGAGUUGAAAGUCCCCUUUAUCUGAUGUCAUUCUUGCUAUUAAAGGACAGGUUCUGAAUAGUGCCCACCCCAUGCUUUAAAGCUUGUAAAAUGCUUUCUCAGCACUGAGCUACCAUAGGGUUCAAAGCAUAAUUCAACUGAAGUGGGAUGUAAGUGGGAUGUGUACUUGGAUUAUAUGACACACUAAAAUUAAAAUUAUCCCCGCAGAUCAUUCUCAUUUUAAAUUGCAACUCAAAUAUCUGAACCCAUUUUUGUAAAUUCUGAUGGUAACAAUUUUUGUUAUCGCCUUCAGAAAAAAGAAAUGCUUUGAGUUUGAGUGACAAUGAUUGCUCUCCCGCAGAAAAAAAGGCUACAAGAACUGUUCCAAAACUAAGUAAUGGGAAGAUCUUAUUCCAAGAAUCAUUAGGAAUCCGUUCUUCCUCUAUUAAUCUGGACCCAAAAUCUAAAAGUGACCAUAAAAAUUCAGUAUUUGAUUUUAAAGCUCUUCUGUUGUUCCAGAGAAGUUUUAUGGAAGGGACUGAAUCUCUUUCCAGCUUGCUUUCAUUUCUUUAUCAUGCAGUUUAAUUGUCUAACUUCUGAAAUUGGCAUUGUAAAGACACACUGAGGAGCCAAUUAUUUAUGUUUAUUUUCAAAUUUCUUUAGAUAUAAAAUAAUAGAAGAUAAAAAGGCAAUAUUUGGAAUGGGCAGUGAAAAAAAAAGGUCCCAGCCAAGGUUUAUGUGUUGAAUUACUGAAUGUAGUAAUCGAUUUGUGCCUCACUUGUGUAAAAAAAUAAUAAUGAUUUCAGGACCCAGAUGAGAUAUGAGUGUAGAGAGAUAAAUUACAGAAUUACAGGUACAAUCAGUCUUAUAUUCGAUGUGUUUAUGUUUAUAUGGUUUGUAAUGAGAAGAAGAAAAAUCAAGACAUACAACAAAUUUAUAGUGUUAUCUUAAUUGCCAGAGAAAUCACACUGUAAACUGAACAAUACAGUCCUACACGUAAUAUAUAAAAUAUUAUUUGUAGUCCAUGUUAUAAUAUUAAAUUAGUAUUAGAUAAUUAUAUGAAUUACAUGAAAAAUUUUAUUUUAUAUAUAGUAGUUAUUUUCAAUAAUGCCUUAUUGAAAUGCAAUUCUGUUUACAAUAAUAAAAUAUAAUAAAAUAAUUAUAUUACAUCUUG
ensembl:lncRNA